CGGAAGAGGCUGAAGCAAGCCAACAGGGGAUGAGCGAGGAGUCUUAUGUCUGGCACAUACAUCACAAGAGGACACAUACUCAUAAUAUUUAGGCCACCAAAAGUAUCGGGUAAGUAGUUCUUGUGUCUUUCGGAUUCCUGUAUGACCUGCUGGUUUAGAGUCAUGGUAGAGGCGUAAAACGUCCAGUCGCACUGAUUCUGGAACAA